CCUACGGGAGGCAGCAGUGGGGAAUAUUGGGCAAUGGGCGCAAGCCUGACCCAGCAACGCCGCGUGAAGGAAGAAGGCUUUCGGGUUGUAAACUUCUUUUGUCAGGGAAGAGUAGAAGACGGUACCUGACGAAUAAGCCACGGCUAACUACGUGCCAGCAGCCGCGGUAAUACGUAGGUGGCAAGCGUUGUCCGGAUUUACUGGGUGUAAAGGGCGUGUAGCCGGGUUGACAAGUCAGAUGUGAAAUCCUGCGGCUUAACCGCAGAACUGCAUUUGAAACUGUUGAUCUUGAGUACUGGAGAGGCAGACGGAUUUCCUAGUGUAGCGGUGAAAUGCGUAGAUAUUAGGAGGAACACCGAUUGCGAAGGCAGCUUACUAAGCCAUAACUGACACUGAAGCACGAAAGCGUGGGGAUCAAACAGGAUUAGAUACCCCUGUAGUC
rnacentral:rRNA from 1 species